ACCAUGUCUUUUAGGUUUGCUUGUCUCCAGCGUGGUUAAUGACUCCUGGGCAAAGCAUUUCCCCUCUGACAAGUAAAGUCAUAUACAUACUGAUUUUUUAUAUUUUCAAAAUGUUUCUAGAUAAGGUACGUUGUUAUUCCAAAGUUAUUCCAUCCCCCUCAUGUUCAUGGUGAUAUAACGUUUUACAUGUUGCUAGGAAGGAUCGUUAGCUUUCCUUUAGCCUACUGGCUUUAGAGGCCUCUCUCAAACACAAGGAUAGGAGUACGGAAGUUGGUAGAGAGAGAGAGCUUACCUCAAAAAGAUUUGCGAAGAGGAUUCCUGAGGAAUGACUGGUUGCAGAGAAGUUGGGGAGAUUUAGAAUGAAUUCCAGUUCUGUGAAUUGAUUUUUGAGUUCAUCAGACCCGGAGGAUCAUUAAGGGAUUUUUCUGAGGAGUUGCAAAUGUUUAACGAAUGUCUUCUCGUGGUUCCGUGAAAUCAUAAAUCUUUUGGUUUAUGAGAGUGGUAAUGGUCAUUGCAGUGGCAUCGAAUUUUGCUGCACUGGAACUUGGCAGUUUCCAUAUGAAAAUAUAUUGGGAUCUAAUGUAAAAGAUUUGACAUAAUUCUGUAAUUGGUGAAGAACAUCAAAAGUUUGAGUUGUAUAAUAAAUCUUCUGCAAUAAUAAAAUUACAAAA